rnacentral:snRNA from 1 species
AUACUUACCUGGCAGGGGAGAUACCAUGAUCAUGAAGGUGGUUUUCCCAGGGCGAGGCUUAUCCAUUGCACUCCGGAUGUGCUGACCCCUGCGAUUUCCCCAAAUGCGGGAAACUCGACUGCAUAAUUUGUGGUAGUGGGCGACUGCGUUCGCGCUCUCCCCUG